ACCAGGUUGGCCGAGUGGUUAAGGCGCCAGACUUAAGAUCUGGUCUCUGUUAAUAGAGACGAGGGUUCGAUCCCCUCACCUGGUA
rfam:Daphnia magna strain Xinb3 scaffold00311, whole genome shotgun sequence.